AUCCUUUUGUAGUUCAAGAGCGUAAUGAUCAGGCGUUCACAUGCGUGCGUCAGAUGUGCUACCCUCGAACCUUGUUAGGAUGUUGGCACAUUACAUAUCUGACA
rnacentral:snoRNA from 1 species